AUGUGGGCCACCGCACCAGCGGGAUCCAGAUCUGGGCGUAGAGAAGCCCCCAGAUCAUGCAUGGCAGCUCACAGGGACACCGCGUCGCCCGAGCCCGCACGCUGCGCUGACCACCAGCUCCGCCCUGCACCACCAGCCCCCGGUCUCAGCCACGGGGAACGCCGGCGAAGGGAGCAGGCUGCCGCCCCAAGGGAGCAAGAUCUGAAGCUGGAGCUCCCUGGGGAUAGAGCAGCGCCGAGUCCCCUGCCGAGCCGUCCGUGGCUCCGCACCCCCCGCGCCGCCGCACUGCACACCCACUGCGUGGGCAUGCCCACAUCCGCACGUGAGUCCCGUCGCCAGCCGAGCGCCCCGCGCCGCCACGCCUGGACGAGAGGAGGGUGA
rnacentral:rRNA from 1 species